UUUGGUCUUGAUUCAGCCUCUGCUUGUGCUGCCCCAGACCUUUCUUCUUGGCUGCACGAGCGGGAGGUGAUGCAGAGCUUAAUUCAACAGCAUUUACUCCGUGCCCAAGACCGCAUGAAGUGUCAAGCUGACAAGCGGCGCUCUGAGCGCGUGUUCCAGGUGGGCGACCGUGUGUUUCUCAAGAUGCAGCCAUAUGUGCAGUCGUCCCUUGCUCCCAAGGCUUGUCAAAAGUUGGCUUUCAAAUACUUCGGUCCAUUCAACAUCCUGGAGCGUAUCGGUUCGGUGGCUUACAAGCUCGAAUUGCCGCCAUCUACGUCAAUUCACCCUAUUUUUCAUGUGUCGCAGCUCAAACAGGCCAUCGGUGAUCAACUGGUUUCUGCUCUUCCCAGCGACCACUCUGCCUUCGCCUUUCCCGAGCGCGUACUGCAACGGCGUGUCGCAGCUGGUGAUCGGCCGGUACUCCAAGGGCUGAUCAAGUGGUCCGGUAUACCUGCGUCGCUCGCUACCUGGGAAGACCUGGAGGCUCUUCGUCAACGUUUUCCACUGGCUACUUGAUUCCCAAGAGGAGGGGGUGUUAGCAGCACAAGUAACCAGGAGACUGAAGCAACCGGCCAGGAGCACGGCCCAAGAGUGAAGAAGCCCAACGGGAAGGUCCUCGGCCCAGAAUGGGUGAACUGAGUAGUAUAUGUAUUAGCUGAGAGAGACAAGAGCAUAGAUGUAUGAACACUCAAACUAUUUCCCAAGUAAUCUGACCUCCUCCGAUCCCAAUUCAGCUUGUCACAAAUUCUGUUCUUCCUUCCAAUCCCCGAUAUCCUGCUGGCUCUUACAACGAAGUUGUCAAACCGUCGAACCGCACCAGGAAAGUGUAGUCUUUGCCUCGCUCCUCUCUCGGCUCCCUCCGACGAGCGGCGAUGGCAACCUCGCUCCCGCCGAUCGACUGGGAGGCGGAGAGCUACCCCGCCUACCCAGACUUCGCGGCCAUCCCCUUUUCGCCGUCUUCUUCCUCGCCGUCCGUUUCCUCCUCGACCGCUUCGUAUUCGAGUGGUUAGCCAGGAAGCUGAUUUUCAAGAAGGGGAAUGAGAAGCUCGAUCCUACUACAUAUGCAGGCAAGAGAAAGAUCAGGAAAUUUAAAGAAUCAGCUUGGAAAUGCAUUUAUUUCCUUUCCGGGGAGCUAUUGGCAUUGUCUGUGACAUACAAUGAGCCAUGGUUCACAACCACAAGAAAUUUCUGGGUUGGACCAGGUGAUCAGGUCUGGCCAGAUCGAAAAAUAAAACUUAAACUCAAGGCGGUCUAUAUGUAUGGUGCUGGUUUUUACACAUACUCAAUAUUUGCCCUUUUGUUUUGGGAAACAAGGCGCUCAGACUUUGGCAUUUCAAUGACUCACCAUGUAGCAACUGUUUGUCUGAUAGCACUGUCUUACAUAUUCAGAUUUGCUCGCGUGGGUUCAGUUGUUCUUGCCAUCCAUGAUGCAAGUGACGUGUUCCUGGAGCUUGGAAAGAUUUCUAAGUACAGUGGCCACGAGUUGCUUGCAGAUGUUUCAUUUCUUGUUUUCAUCAGUUCUUGGGUAGUCCUUCGCCUUAUAUAUUAUCCAUUCUGGAUUCUCUGGAGCACAAGCUAUGAAGUUGUUCUGACUCUAGACAAGGAGAAACAUAAGUUUGACGGGCCAAUAUACUACUAUGUAUUCAAUACUCUUCUCUUCUCCCUCCUUGUUCUACACAUAUAUUGGUGGGUCUUAAUGUAUCGGAUGCUUGUGAAGCAAAUACAGUCUAGAGGGCAUGUUGGGGAUGAUAUACGAUCUGAUUCUGAAGGUGAAGAGGAACAUGAGGAUUGAUUGAGCUCUGUAAAUUAAGAAGAAAAGGAUCCUGAGUAUUGAUUGAGCAUGAGCUGUGUAGGUUCUGAAGGUGUAGAGGAACACGAGGGGAUGGCUUGAGCACUGUAACAGUUUUGUUUUGGGGCUCUUUACCCCUUUUAUUCUUCUUAAUAUAUUGAUGCGCAGUUCUCCUGCGUGUUCGAGAAAAAAAAACUUGCUGCUCUGCCUUUCCAGAUCAUUUCUGUUUGUUUAGUGCGGGAUCUUCACAAAUUAAUAAUACACUAGUGCCUUCACUUGGGCAUAAUACAUUUAUGUAAAACUUGGUCAAAUUGUAUAGCACCUACACAGCAGUUAAUGGAAAACAUUACUUGUGUACC